CCUACGGGAGGCAGCAGUGAGGAAUAUUGGUCAAUGGCCGAGAGGCUGAACCAGCCAAGUCGCGUGAAGGAAGACGGCCCUACGGGUUGUAAACCUCUUUUGUCGGGGAGCAAAACGAGUCACGUGUGCCUCAUUGCGUGUACCCGAUGAAUAAGCAUCGGCUAACUCCGUGCCAGCAGCCGCGGUAAUACGGAGGAUGCGAGCGUUACUCGGAUUUAAUGGGUGUAAAGGGUGCGCAGGCGGGGGGGCAAGUCAGAGGUGAAAUUGUGGGGCUUAACCCCAGAACUGCCUUUGAAACUGUAUCCCUUGAGUGCGCGAGAAGUAGGCGGAAUGCGUGGUGUAGCGGUGAAAUGCAUAGAGAUCACGAAGAACUCCGAUUGCGAAGGCAGCAUACUGGCGCGUAACUGACGCUGAUGCACGAAAGCGUGGGGAUCGAACAGGAUUAGAUACCCCUGUAGUC
rnacentral:rRNA from 1 species